rnacentral:misc_RNA from 1 species
GAUGAAGAACGUAGCGAAAUGCGAUAAGUAGUGUGAAUUGCAGAACUCCGUGAAUCAUCGAGUCUUUGAACGCACAUUGCGCCUCCUGGCAUUCCGGGAGGCAUGCCCGUUCGAGCGUCAUCAAUACCGCCUCAAGCAGCUUUGCUUGGUUAUGGGACUUUGGGGGCUCCGCCGCGUGCGGGGUCCCCUCCCGAAUAUCAUGGAGCGGGGCCCCGUGUCGGGACGUCGGAAGUAAUAAGCAACGUUUCCUCCGACCGGCCCGGCCGAGUGGCCCCCGCCCGCUGAACCCCCAAUCCUUCUCUGCAAGGCAUGACCUCGGACGGGUAGGGAUACCCGCUGAACUUAAGCAUAUCAAUAAGCGGAGGA